AGGUAACUAUUUUAAAAGCUAUUUAAAAUAUUUUAAAUGAUAUUCGGUAUCAUAUUUAUACCAAGAUAUAAAUCAGAAUUAUUUGCAUCUGUAAAUAUUCCUUUUAUGGCUAAACAAAAAGCAAAACACUUAUAUUUUUCGAAAAGGGCACACAAUGCUAAUGGUUUGCUCUGCGCACCUGCCAGCUUGGUUUGCAGUUUAAGCCACCCUGGAAAUUCUCAUUUCUUUGUGCAAUAUUUUAUUCUGUGCUUUUCUUCAGGGCAGAUUGGUUCUGCCUGCACUUUAUUUCUGAACCCAUGUUCAUUCAAAAUGGACUGCCAGACAUAAAUGCUCUAUCUAGUGUUGCCACUGCUGCUGCAGGGGCUGCUGACUAACAGCACCCCUCCCCCAACCAGCUCCUGACCCAUUCUCCUGCCCUAUCCUUUGUUGACAAUGGUAGUCCAUUGUCAACAAAGAGUGUACAAUUGUGGAAUACUCAGCAGCAAUUUUGGUAAUGUUUUGCUUUGAAUAUUUUGAAAGUAUUUUUGAAGUCUAUAAAUAGAUGUGCCCCAAGCUUUUCCUUUUUCUUGAUUUUAAUAUUUGGAGAUGAGCUCUCAUCCCACAGGGCAGCCUCGGGGACUGCAGUGGCUGGAAUGCUUUCAGAGAACAAAUGUGGCUCUGUGGCUCUCUUUUCAUAAUAAUAUCAACAUCAUAUAGAUUUAAUAACAGGGUGAUAGAGGACAUUUUGAUGAUGGGGCAAAUUCUCUGAUCUGCCAAGGAAAGCAUCUGAUUCUCUCAUGUACCAAUUAAUUAUUGAAGCAACUGGAAAUAAUAGGCUACUCUGCUUGCUUCUUUCCUGCAAAGGAAUGGAGUUGGUGUGGUGGUGGUGGUUUGUGUGUGUGUGUGUGUGUGUGUGUGUGUGUGUGUGUGUGUUUGCACAAGCAUACAUGUGAGCACUUGUCUGUGUUCAAUAAGGAAUCUUGGGCAGAAAUUUCUUCACUGUGUUCUUAAAGAUUAUAGGGACGUUAUCUGUACACGUCUGGUAUGACAAUAGUAUUUCUAAGGAAUAGGAAUGCAAUCUUUCUUUUUCUUUUUCCUUUUUUGAAUUAUUUUUUCAUCCACACCCUUGAUGGACCUCAUUGUGAAUUAUUGUGUUUUAUUUUAAUGUCUACUUCUCAUUUACUAGCACCUUUUUUGUUUUGUUUUGUUUUACAGCCCACUCUCUAAGGCAGGCACUAGAUCAGUUGAGAAGAAAAUCUUGUUUUGCUUUAUGCCUCAAUAUGCAUCAUCCUCCUGCAUACAUAGAUUGCCUUGGUAUAAUCUGGUUACUUUACAAAACUAUUCCAUGAUAUUCAGACUUGAGUCAUCUUUCGCCCUAGAGUCUGUGGUUCUAUAAACUUUUUAGAUAGAGGGAGGUUGGAUUCUUGGAUUAUUGUAAAUUUGUUGCUUUCUAUUGUGACAAUAGUGUUUAUAUGCUUGACACCCUCAUAAUAAUAUUAAGCUCAAUUUUUUAGUGUGAUGUACUUUAUACAUUUGUAUAAAUGUCACAGCCUGUAAUCACUUUCUUUGUCAUCGACGAUUAAUCUAAAAAAAUCGAAUAAUUCACUGCCCCUUGCCAUUUACAUAUCGUCUGCUGCCAUCUGCUCUUCUCAGCAGCAGUAAAUGAUGGGUAAUUAACUCAGUGCCUUUGUCUUUCCCUUGCUGAAUGUCUGACACAUAUAGAUUUUCCUCUCUGUGCGGAUGUGUGUGUAUAUGUGCAUGUAAGAGGAAGAGGGAAGUGGUAAAGAAUAAAGUGCAAGGGAGAAUGAAUGAUACUUCACGGAUGCAUGCCAGCAUGAUAUCAUUGAAGGAGAGAAAGGCAAAGCAAGGUUCAGAGGAGUGGCCAAACUUCAUGACCUCACAUUUUAACCAAACCAAGAUGAAGAAACACUACUGGAACUAUGACUUUCUUGCACAAUUGAGAGAUUUUUCUAAAACCUUGAAAGCCAAGGUAAUAAUGGAAAGCCAAGGAAAGACUACAAAAUCCUUUUGUUAAUCAAGAUGCGAAAAAAGAUCAUGCA
rnacentral:lncRNA from 1 species